UUAAAAUAUGGCUACCUCUAAAUAUGUCGCCCUGCUCAUGAUUUUUCUAUUCUCCAGCUCUUUUAUUGGUGAAUGUAAGUCUAAUUUUCAUUUAUAUUUCGUGUUUUUAUAUUUACAUUAUUAUUAUAAUUAUUUGUUUAAUUAUGCAGGCGGCGAGUUGAUGAACAAGAGCUCAGGAAAGAUGGUCAAGACAGAUGAUAGAGGAGACCACUUAAUCCAUUUCUGUAUACCUUAUCUCUGUACAAAAGAAAAUCCCAACAUUGAAGUUUGUUGGUGUUGUGUUGAUGCAAGUUAUAGAACUGAGGGAGAUUGUGUUUCUUCAAAAAAACUUUGUCAAGAAAUUUGUACUUGAUCAAAUUCAAUUAGUAUUGCAUUG
rnacentral:lncRNA from 1 species